rnacentral:snoRNA from 1 species
UGCAGCCUUGUCAAAUUUGGUGUUUCCUCCUCAGUGGACGGCACUGGCCAAAAUGGCUGCAACAGUGAAUUUGUAGUCCAUGGGCCCCAUGUUCCUGUAUAUAGUGGGUACUGGGGAUAGAAGGGCUAUGUACAAAU